UCGAUAGGUGGAAGCAAUUAUGUUAAUUGCAAAUGAUCUAAACUGGGUGUCUUCGCUAGAUAGACACAGGGAGCCGGGUGGAAGAAAGUGAGAAAGAAAGAAUGAAAGGGAGAGAGAGGUGGGAAGAGAGUGGAAGACAGAGAGAGAUGGAGAGAGAAACAGAGAGAGAAAGACAGCAGCGCAAAUGUACUUAGACUUGAGUAAUUCAACAACUCUUCUCUUCCAACUUGUUGGACAAUCACAUGUACGGGGGAAGGAUGGCCAGCCAGACAGGAGGCUGAUUUUUACUAAGGAGGAGAAGGAGGCCGUGCUGACCGAAAUGCAUGCAGGCCAUUUCAGUGAAGCGCAUGAUUGCCAAAAUCAACCUACGCUUCUUCUGACAGCGAAUUGUCAAGGAGAUGGACAGCUGGGCAAUAUCCAGUCUAGCCUGCCAGAAGUUUGAGAAGGCAAAGACUAUGGCGCCGGAGUUGAAGCCCAUCAGUUGUUUCACCAUGGCACAUGAUCGGGGUGGACUUCAUCGAUCCCUUCACGGAAUCCAGGGAUGGCAACAGCUGGUGUCUGACGGCGACCGAUCACUUUACCCAAGUGGGUGGAGGGCAAGGAAAUACCCAUUAAGCCAUCAAGGAUGAGACAAGCGAGGCCACCUCCAAGGCGAUGGUGGACAUCUUCAACACCCAUGGUUCUCCUGAGGUCAUCUUGAGUGACUGAGGACAUGAACACUGGAACAAGGUUUGGUGAAUGGACCAACCAGACCAUCAAGACUGCCAUGGGCAAGUCCCUUGAUCGAUAGCAGAAAGGGUGGGAGCACAACCUGAAGGUAAUUCUCAUUGCACACAACAGCAGCAUCCAGGCCUCCACCGAGUACGGACGGGAACCGCAGCCGUUGACUGAGGUAAAAAAAAAAUGCAAUUGUAGAUACAAUUAUGACAUAUACUGAAGCCUUUCAAAUAUGUGAUUGAUUAUUUGUGUAUAACAUACUUUCAGAUCUCUGAAACCCCAUCGGUAGUUGUCGAAUCAGAUGAGAACGCCUUCGAGGACCACUUUCAGGCACGGACGGAGAAGGAUGUGGAGGUUUUUGACCAGGUAAAAAUGAUUGUCCGCUUUUCAUUUAUUCAAUCAAGGUGAGACUGAACAUGGACAAGGUGCAGGAGAAUCAGAAGGAGAGCCACAGGAGCAGAAUAAAGAAGGGGACCAAGUGCCAUGACAUCCGGGUGAAUGACUUGGUUUGGAAGAAGGACGAAAGGAAGGCGAGACCUGGGGAAACCUCGCCGUUAUUUCGCUCCUAGCUGGGGUCACCACCUGUUAAAGGUUACCUCGGUGGAAGCCAACAAUCUUCUACAGUUGGAGCAGUUGGACGGUCGACCACCGAAAGCCCUGACGCCCUACACUUCAGUGAAGCCCAAUAGACAAAGACCAACGACUGUCCGAGCCCCCCAGGAGGUAUCCCAUCCACCAGAACAAGUGAGUUCGGAUCAGUCUGAUUCUCUGUGCUCUGAGUCAGAGGAGGACCAGCUUGAGGACCUAGGGGUUCUGCCCAACACCCAGAUGUUACAUCAUCUACAGCUACUGUUGUUGUCAUGUUGUCAAUAUCUGCUAAGAAAGUGUUUUGCUCUAUCAUACUGGGCACAUAAUAUGUGAAAUACACAGAUGAGCUAAAAGCACUAGCACUGCAAACACAGAACAAGCAGCUCCUGGACUUUGGAGUCUCCCUCUUCAAGUCCCCGUUCUGAGACAGGCUGGCUAUUGAGAACAAGUGUCAGGCAGAACCUCCCGCCCACACAGCAACCACGACCUCUAUAUUCCACACACCAGAAUUCAGUAUUUUAGUCUAUGAUUGCCGUGUGAGUCUACAAAAAAUCUGCGACAAUAAAUGAAUGACACAACUGUACCAAAAA